AAUACUGAGCCUUCAUUCAAACUAAAAGGCUGGAAGGGAGGCAGCUGCCUUUGUUUGCCAUGGAUGGGUAGGGGCUGCACUGAGCAGCACCGGUGUUCUUCAUCCGGCUGCACCCCCAACAGAGCUCUUUCUUCCCCAGAUCCCUUUUACAGUUGGAUUCUCCCUCUUGGAUCUGGCUCUGCCUUAGUCCGACCUAGAGGGAUCAGCUUCGCCCACGCCCACUCUCACCCGGAACCUUUCAUCUCUUAUUGAAGCCUUUUAGGCCCAUUGGGAUGUUCAUUAGAACUCUGAAAACUACAGUUCUCCCCUUUAUGAGGACUGCACCACAGCUCGCCCUCUCCUGGGUUCCGGUAAGAAGAGAUUCCAAUACCACUCUUUUUUCAGAAUUCAGAAAGGCAAGAGACCACCUUACUGAGCUUCAAACUGGGGCUGGGAACGCUGCCAUGAAUUGGGCUUGGUCUGUCUGAAGGGAGCCACCUUUUCGACAAUCCUUAGACUUCUUUUGCCUGUUGGAAUUACACCUUGGAUCGUGGCGAAGUCUAUAGAGGUCAGAUUAAGAAGAACCAAAGCAGAAUAAACGUAGAACCCGAUGCUGAGUUCACGACCUGGUUGCAGAGUGAGCCCAUGGGACAGCCCUCUGAAAUUAUACUGCUUACAACCAUGCUGAGUCUGCAAGGACUUCGUCCAAGCCUUUCCGUCCAGGACCUCAAACAGAUCCAAUCACAAGAAGAGAGAUUUCAGGAAAGAGAAAAUUAUUCCUAUCAUCGGGGUUUUUGAAGAACAUGAAAUGACUGGGAAAAUAAUCAUGUUAAGUGGAAAAAAAAAAGAAAUCUAUCUGUUGUAAUUUUCAAAUAAUUUUUAAAUAAAUUUGAAAAAUUAAGAGAACUAUAUAUAUAAUACAUUCCUAAUCUUGUGAAAAAUAUAUAUGCAUUAAUAUUAUUGAAAGAAAUAUAUCAAAAGGUGAACAGCAAUUAUCACCAAUCUAGAUUAUGAGAUUAGGAGUGAUUUUUUUUCUUUGUCCUAUACUAUUUAAUAUUUUCUACCAUUAAAAUAUUCUGAUUUUCUAAUUAGAAUAGUACGUUAGACAAAGAAGGACAAAUAUCACAUGAACUCUCACUCUCUUAUGGAACAGAUCUUGUGGAAUCUAAAAAAGUUGAACUCAUAGAAAAAGAGGAAAAUGAUGGUUACCAGUUAGAAAAAAGGAAUAAGUUCAAGAGAUCUAUUGUACACCAUGGUCAAUAUAGUUAACAAUAUAUUUUAUACUUUAAAAUUGCUAAGGUAGUAGAUUUUAAGUGUUCUCACCACACAAAAAAAUAAGUAUGUGAAAAGCAUAUGGUAAUUAGCUUGAUUUAACCACGCCACAGUGCAUACAUAUGUCAAAACAUCAUGUUGUAUACUAUAAAUAUAUACACUUUUUGUCAAUUUUAAACAGGUUAUAAAAAAACAUGUUAUUGUUGAUAAUUAUGAAAAAUUUUAAUGAUGUGGAAAUGUGUACAGUAUAAUGAUAAAUGAAAGAGUAGUAAAAAUCCUUAUAAAAUAUAAUUACAAAUGUGUUGGGUGGAUAAUAUAAAAAUCUUAACAGCUAUUUCUGAGCUAAGUGGUGGAGCAUGGGUAAUUUUUAGUGCCUUCUGUGUCAGGCUGUUCUUGCAUUGCUAUGAAGAAAUACCUGGCCAGGCGCGGUGGCUCACGCCUAUAAUCCCGGCACUUUGGGAGGCCAAGGCGGGUGGAUCACCUGAGGUCAGGAGUUCGAGACCAGCCUGGCCAACAUGGUGAAACCCCGUCUCUACUAAAAAUACAAAAAUUAGCCAGGUAAGGUGGUGCGUGCCUGUAGUUCCAGCUGCUGGGGAGGCUGAGGCAGGAGAAUCGUUUGAACCCAGGAGGCGGAGGUUGCAGUGAGCUGAGAUAGCCUGGGUAACAGACCAAGACUCUGUCUCAAAAAAAAUAAAAAUAAAAAUAAAAAAGAAAUACCUGAGAAAAGGUAAUUUAUAAAGGAAAGAGGUUUAAUUGGCUUGCGAUUCUUCAAGUUUUACAUGAAGCAUGGCAGCAUCUGAUUUUAGGGAGGCCUCAGGAAGCUUCCAAUCCUGGCAUAAAGCAACGAGGAGCAGGUACGUCACAUGGCGAAAGCAGUAACAAGAGAGAGAGUAACGGGGGAGGUGCCACACCCUUUUAAACAAUCACAUCUCAUGAGAACUCACUAUCCUGAAGACAGCACCAAGGGGAUAGUGCUAAACCAUGCAUGAAAAAUCCGCCCCCAUGAUCCAAUCGCCUCCCACCAGGCCCCACCUCCCACAUUGGGGAUUACAAUUCAACAAGAGAUUGGGGCGGGGACAGACGGCCAAACUAUGUCACCUUCAUUUUACUUUUCUUUUUCCUACAGCAAAAAUAACCAUGUGAUAUUUGUGUAAUUGUAAUAAAGAACUACAAAAUCACUUUUAUCUUUUUAAAUACAAAAUUCAAACUAAAAUCAUUAUUGUUAGUUGGAGAGAUGGUGGAGGAAGGAAAACAGAAGCUGAGGAUGACACUACUAAUAAGUAACAAUAAUGACAAUGACUCCUGUUACUUAACGGCUUGCUUAGGUUCACAGUCUUUUUUAUUUGCUAGACGCUUUAACGGCUUCUUCCAAGCAAACAAAAGUCUUGGAAUCCAAACAGUCCCUUUACUCCUCACCCCUCAUACCUCAUGGAGGGAAAUUCUUGGUUAUGUGCAGACACAUAUGUGGACUAAGUUAGCAUGGCUGUGGCACCCCUUACCUGACACGGAUUUAGACUUUAGCUUUUCAAACGUUUUGGUCUGUAUUUAUUUAUUUAUUGAGACGGAGGCUCACACUGUCACCCAGGCUGGAGUGCAGUGGCGCCAUCUCCGCUCACUGCAACCUCCGCCUUCCCAGGUUCAAGCGAUUGUCCUGCCUCAACCUCCCGAGUGGCUGGAAUUACAGGCGCCCACCCACCACACCCAGCUAAUUUUUCUAUUUUUAGUAGAGACGGGGUUUCACCAUGUGGUCUCGAACUCUUGACCUCAGCUGAUCUGCCCGCCUCGGCCUCCCAAAGUGCUGGGAUUACAGGCGUGAGCCACAGCGCCCGGCAAACCUUGGUCUUUAAAUCACGUUGGCAAGACUGAACUCAAACGUAAGCUCUCUGUUUUGGUUUUGAGAGUUGUGCCUUCUUAUCUAAAACAGUAACAAUUUAAAUAUUUUUGUUAUUUAAACAAACCAAUAAGAUCUGAGGAAUGAGCAACCGUCACAGUUGUCUGAAUAACACAUUGCACGGUAGUGGUGGCUGUUUCAUAACGGACUUGGCACAGCAGUGCCCUCUUAGAGACAAAGGUGGACCAUUGCGCCGCCGUGUGGUAUUGAGGGGUAUGGCGCCUUCUUCCUUUUAUAAUUACGCUUUUUCUAGUUAAGAACUAGAAUAACCUUCGCGGUCGCUGGGUGGAGCCCUUUCAAUUUGUUGUGUGGGCUAACUAAGUGUGGAAACUAAGACUCAGGCAAGUGAUGUUACUGGGGCUUGAACCCAAAUCUUCACCCUUUGUGCUCCCAGCUUUUCAAGUUAACUCAGGGAUGUCUGCACAUAGCUGGAGGGAAACGGAGCUGUCUUAUGCAAAACUCAAUUUCACAUUCAAAGAAACUGAAGUGUAGAGAGGAUAAGUGACUUGCUAAAAGGUCUGCGCUAAUUUGGGGUCCUUCGUUUUUUAUUCUACUCAUUCGUUUAUUCACCAAAUAUUUAUACACGUGUCUACUACAUGUCAGGCACCAUUCAAGGCACUAGAGAUAAAAUAGUGAACACAGCAAACAAAAAUCCCUUCCUGCAAAAAUCCCUUCAUCUCUUCCCUUCAUAAAGCUCAUGUUCUAAUGGGGGAAACAAAGUAAGCAACUAAAAUAUAUAAUACCAGAUUAGAGAGGGGUAAAUGCAAAGAAGAAAUAAAAGGGAAGGGGGAUACGAAAUGUUAGGAGGGGCUACUUUUCUGAGUGGCCAGAGAAAACCUCCUUGAUAAGGUGACUGGUGACUUUUUUUUUUUUUUUUUUGAGAUAGAGUCUCACUCUGUGGCCCAGGCUGCAGUGCAAUGUCAUGAUCUCAGCUCACUGCAACCUCUGCCUGCCAGUUCAAGUGAUUUUCCUUCCUCAGCCACCACGUAGCUGAGACUACAGGCACAUGCCACCAUGCCCAGCUAAUUUUUGUAUUUUUAG
rnacentral:lncRNA from 1 species